UACGUAGGGUACAAGCGUUGUCCGGAAUUAUUGGGCGUAAAGAGCUCGUAGGUGGUCUGUCACGUCUGCUGUGGAAACGCAAGGCUCAACCUUGCGCGUGCAGUGGGUACGGGCGGACUAGAGUGCAGUAGGGGGAGUCUGGAAUUCCUGGUGUAGCGGUGAAAUGCGCAGAUAUCAGGAGGAACACCGGUGGCGAAGGCGGGACUCUGGGCUGUAACUGACGCUGAGGAGCGAAAGCAUGGGGAGCGAACAGG
rnacentral:rRNA from 1 species